rnacentral:rRNA from 1 species
GCGACCCCAGGAUAGGCGAGGCCACCCGCCGAG